UUUUUUUUUUUUUUUUUUUUUUUUGCUUAGCUUGCAAAAAGCUAGUAGGCUGAAGCUGGGGAAACAGUGCAGCAUGCAAGCAUGAGAACCUGGACUUGAUCCCCAGAACUGAUGGGAAAAAGCUGGGCUUGGCCAUGUACACUUGCAAUACCAGCACUGGGAAGGUGGAGACGGAUAUACCCCUAUGGUUUACUGCCCAGCCAGUCUGGCCUGCUAGGAGAGCUCCAGACCAAAAAAAGACUCUAUCCCCAGAACGAACGAUAAUAUGAAUGUGGAUGGCUCCUGAGGAGCGACACCUAAGGUUGACCUCUGGCCUCCACACACACGUUCAACACGUGUACAAACACACUCACACACUCAGGUGCACGUAAGAACUAGUAGUCAGAAAAAGGAACAUAACAAACUUGUAGUAAAAACAGGAGUAGAGAGAGCUCAUCUUACUGGGGACAUAAAGAGAGUUCCUUGGCAAAAACAAACAAGCAAACAAAACACCCGGCAUCUGAGGUGCCUUUGCACAGAGGAGGCUCGUAUCUGGGCUAGUGAUGUAGCAUUCUGUGCUGGAGGGGCCAAAAGGAAUGUUACCACAAGGUCUCUUGCAGUUGCGAAACAAGCGUUCACUAACGCUUUUGCUUUCUCUACUCUCUCAUGAUGGAUGGUCCCACACCCAGACAAAUUCCAGCCUAGCUUCUCCCCACACGGAUGAGGCUCUUUAUGAUUGGCUGGUGUAGACAGCAUCAGCUCUUCCUCCAAUUGGCUGUGAAUUCUUUGGAUUCUGCCUCAGGAUAAUUCCCUUCGCCCACGCCUUCUGUAUCUUUUUGUGUUGUCCGUAUCCUGGGUGAGGUUAUGCUUGCCAAAAUCAAUGAACUGGCCACCAAAUUAUUACCCUCGGGGUCUGCUCCUAUGGAGUCUACACCCUGGCUAGCUAUGGGUACAGCCACCUUUGUAAACUUUGGGGCUUCUCUUGCACCCUACAACAAACCCCAUGUCUCAGCCACCUCCUCCUCUUCACAAACCCAGCUCAGGCUCCACCCUUCCCGUGAGAUAAGAUUAACUCCUUUGCUUGCACUGCUCUCUGUGUGUAAUGACAUUUAAACCUCUCUUGCAUAAACCACACUGUGCCCUAUGGCAUUAUUUAGCGUGUGUGUUUCUCUCUCCAACUGGUCUAAGUUCCUGAUUUCUCCCUGAACUGUAGCAUUUGUAUCCUCUCCAUUGUUCUCCUACUGUGUGGGUACUCAAGCUGUCUGUUAAGUUUAUGGUAAUCACAAUCCUAGCCGUAUAUUUCAAGUAUAACUGAGAAAAGGCUGGAGACAGAGAGACCCAUAACAUGUAAUUUAACCUUGAUAUCUUCUCUAUGUUUUUUUCCCCUUUCUUAACAAACUGAACUGGUCAUAUGUUUCACUGGGCUAGGGGUGUGGUGUAGCAGAUAAGAAUAUCAAAUAUAAAUCUAUCAUUUUUUAGCUCUAUGUUAUUGCGUUACCUUAAUCUCCUCAUGCCUCAGUUUCUCCAUACACAACAUGGCGGAGGAAUAACAGAACCAACCUCUUCCGUUUGUUCUGACAGUUAAAAAUUAGCAUGUAUGACUGAAACAUUCAAAGUAUCCAGUAGAUGCUCACUAUCUAAGGUUAUCACCUGGCUGUUCUCCUUCCUAGAAGGUAAAAUGUAUACAACCAGGAAGGCUCAAGAUAACCCUGGUAACGAAGCCUUAGUUUCUUUAGAACUUGUUGGUAAUUUACCUCCUGGCCACUUCAACUGUCCUCAGAGGAUGGAAACAAGGAAUGUCACACUAGCCGUUCUGAGGAAGGGUCCAGACACCACUGAACAGACUUCCUCUCUUAUGGUUGUGGACUGUUUUCAUCCAUAUCGAGACCUAAGAGGCCUUCAGUCAGUACUAGCUCAGUUGCCUUGUUCCUCAACCAUGGCCACAGUCCACCUCAGCUUCGGGUUAAAGGGGGCAGCAGCUCCACUUCCUGUGAUCAACAGGAAGUCUAAAACCCAAAGAAAUUAAUCAUGGCUCUUUGGUCUUGAGUGGCACAAGUCUUAGCCUAGAAGAUGUCAGGGCUUCCAUUCUAUGCCAGACCAAAGAACUAGUUCAGUUUUCUGAGAACAGACUCAACCCUCAGCACCUCAACUUCCUCCCUGUCUUUAUACCCCAGGAGAGUAAGGGUUAACUGCCCAGGUCCUGGGUUUCAUGUUGACCUAGUUUGUCUCCUAUGCACACAGUAGAAUCCAGUGGCCAUGUCCAGUCUCUAGAUCAGAGGCUCACUGUGCCUGUGAAGGCUCUGUCUUUACCUAACCAACUCAGAGUUCUUUCUGACAGCCAGAUUCUUGUGUGCUACAAAUUCCACCUCUCCCUAUAGCUUUGAGAUGGACAGACUCCCUAGGGCAGACCACAACCUCUUUCCUGUACCUCCGAAAAGAGGAACAAUAACUACCUUAGAUGGGGGGAAGGAAAGGCAGAGGCACCCAGAGGUGUCCCCUUCCGAGGGCCUUUUGGUGAUUCUACCCCCUUGCAGAGGGCUGUUCCGAGCUGGGAUCCUGCAGAAGCCUCCUCUAUCAUUAGAGGCGUUUUUCAGCAUUGCCUAUUUUGGAGCUACAGCUGGGUGCUUCUCAGAAUAAAUAGAGCUGUGAUAUGGAGAUAAAAGGAGAAAGGAAUCUUACCAUCUUUUAGAUUCCCGCACUCCCCAGUCUUUUCCAAUCUUCUAUUCUCAAAGCCUUUCCCUGAGACCCCUUCCUCCUCACUGCCUGCUUGGUGGCUCUCCAAUAAGCACAGGCUCCCUUCACGGGCAAUGCUGGGUACCCUGCUUUGGCUCUACAAGUUCCAAACUGCAUAGACGCAGUGUCAAACGUCACAAGAGUUCGUGUCCCUUAUCGGAAAUGUUUGGAUCUAGAUUUUUGCAAUAUUUUGGAUUUUGGAAAAUUUAUGCGGACAUGAUGAUGUAUCUUGAAGAAAGGCCCCAGGUCAUAUCUAAACAUUUAUUUCUUAUGCACAACUCAUGUGUAUAGCCUCAAGGUGGUGUCAUACAAUGUUUUAGUGUACCUAAGUUCUGGUGGGGUCAGAUGUGGAAUUUUCCAUCUAUGCAUCACGUUCCCUGAAAAAUCUACCAGUAGAGCAUUAUUACAAGCUUGGAUUUUCAGAAUGGGGAUACUUAGUGCAGUGGUUUGAUAGGAAUAGCCCCACAGACUCAUGGGUUUGAAUUCUUAGCACUAUUAGGAGGUGUGGCCUUGUUGGAGUAGGUGUGGCUUUGUUGGAGGAAAUGUGUCACUGUGGAGGUGGGCUUUGAGGUUAUAUAUGCUCAAACUACACCCAGUGUGGCACACAGUCUCCUUCUGCUGCCUUCAGAUGUAGAAUUCUCAGCUCCUUCUCCAGCAGCACGUCUGCCUGCUUUUACAGUUUUGCAAGCCAGCCCCAAUUAAAUGUUUAUCUUUGUAAGAGUUUAGCUCAGUGGUAGAGCGAUUGAGAGCAAGGCCCUGGAUUGGGUCCUCAGCUCUGGGG
rnacentral:lncRNA from 1 species